GACGUAGGGCGCGAGCGUUUGUUCGGAAUUACUGGGCGUAAAGCGCACGUAGGCGGCUUUGUAAGUUAGAGGUGAAAGCCCGGGGCUCAACUCCGGAAUUGCCUUUAAGACUGCAUCGCUAGAAUUGUGGAGAGGUAAGUGGAAUUCCGAGUGUAGAGGUGAAAUUCGUAGAUAUUAGGAAGAACACCAGUGGCGAAGGCGGCUCACUGGCCCGGUACUGAACGCUGAGGCGGCGAAAG
rnacentral:rRNA from 1 species